AAUAUAUUCAGGACUUCCAGAGGGAG
rnacentral:piRNA from 1 species